CGGGGAUCCAGGCUGUCCAGGAGAAGGGCAGCGGGAGCUGAGGGCGGCCGGCUCCCGGGCCGCUGCGGGGAGGCUGAGUGCCACCCCCGCUACUCAGUCCGCGGGGCUGGGAUGAAGCUUUCUGGCAAGGAGUUGUGAGUUGGUGCGUGUCACUCUCCACUGGGCGGCGGGGCUCCUCCUAGAGGAAAAUAUUGGUAGUUGCGGGAGACCUCCCUCCUCUCCACCCACCGGGUUCCCCCAAAGAAGUAUCUAGAAGUCCUCAACUUCUGUACAUUCAAAGAGAGCAGUGCACCUCCUGCAGGUAUGGGAAGAAGUCCCUUGGAAAGUGUGAUGAGUCUACUAGAUUUUACCGGUCUAGUUGGUUUUCAAGCUCCUGCUCACUGGGAUUCAGCAUAAAGGACAUUCCCAGUCCGAGAGGUUAAAAAAAAAUGAAGACAAAGCAGGUGAUUUACCAAGAAUGCAUUCCUGUUUGAAGAGAGCUAUGCUAAUACGGGACAUAGGUCUGCAGGGAGGGCAGGAAUAGGACCCAGCCUGAGGUUCGUCCUUGUUUGUGACCUAGGGAAAGGCACCAUUUGUCCAUCAGACACAGGCUCUUGGUACUUCAUUCCAUUUUGUUGAAAAAAAUUAACCAAGACGGGAGUUGUCAAAGCACUUCCCAAAGUCAGAGUGCUGUGUAAGUAUUGGCGUGAAGCACCAGACUGCCAACAACCACUUGCUUCUCCAGGCACAGAGUACAAAGGUACAAAAGUCCAGCCCCGGGCCGUCGAGCUGUCUCAUCUGGAGGAACAACGGGUCACGUGGUCUUCUUACUAUUUGCUUUGUACUGACAGCUAGUUAAGAUCUGUGACAAAGAUGAAAUUAUCCUCCUUUAACCAACAGGAAGUCAUGAAGAGACACAAAAACAAACACAGCAACAACAACAACAACAAAAACCAGACUGAUCACAUAAAGGGAAAAAAUUUAGAGUGCGGAUGGGGACUCAGCUUUUUUGUAUCACCUUUAUUUUGGGGACUCUUCCUUCAGUCUCUCAAGGUCUUGGCAUCUAGUAUUGUGUCCACCUCAUUUCAAGCCACCAGCCCACCAGCCUCUAUGUGUGGCAAGAACUAAAAUUGUCCUCUAAUUCCUAGGCACCAAAGUAACUAACAGUAGUGACCAGGGGGGACAGGAGAGAUUCCUCUAUUUUGCCUUUAGUAGUACAGGUCUUGUGCAGGCAACCCACACAGGUACAGACAGAAACUAAUUAUCAUAGUCUCCAUAUUUGUUAAGUUUGAGCUAGUGAGUUGUGGAGAAUGUGUUUCAUCAUCUUGCUUUGAGAAAUAAACAUUCAUAAUGAUGUAGAGA
ensembl:lncRNA